AGCGGAAGUCAUUCGCUUGUCAAUUUUUCAUAGAGCUUAUUUGCAGAAAGAAACAGAAAUCCAGUUAGUUUUAGAUCUAUAUAUUUCAUUAGGAAUCAGUAAAUGAUAACUAGCAGAACUAACCCCACCAGCCAUAUAUAGGAACAGCAGGUCGUUAAUAGCACAUAUUCAGACGUCAUCUUCUACUACUGACUUCCUAUACAAAAGCUAUAAGAAUAUUGAUAAUAAAAUAAAACUGUAACUUGCUUGUCACGACUUAAAGUUAAUAAAAAUGCCUUGCGUGACAGGAGGUUACAAAUACAAGCUUUACUUUUAUAUAUUGUAUAUACAUAUACAAUUUAUAUUUUAAUUAAAACAGUGUAUAGAGCAAUAACACAUAUGUUUAAGAUUUGUUUGUGCAUCAGUAUAAAAUGGCAAUUGAACAUGCUGCAGGUUCACAUUUGACGCAGAAUGUGUUUUGAACAUUAAUUGUUCUUCACUAAAAAAAUAGAGAUUCUUUGUUUGCA